rnacentral:lncRNA from 1 species
GACGAUCUUUCCAACAGAGUUAUAACCUAUUUUAAAGGUCUUUUCAGUCUGUUGAUCUUACCUCACUACCAUAACAACAUAUUUAAUGUGCUUGUUAUUUUGCUAGCAUAGCAUAAAUGAAUGUAAAGAAGUUGAGGGGGUACUGCAGCCCACCCUAUACCUGCCUUCCUGCGACCUUGCACUGCCUCCUGUCCUCUCACUACACUCUCUCAGACAGCAUGACCCUAACCUGACACACGUUCUGGACCUCUCAAUCGGUUCAUGCUAGUUAUAAAUCCAAACUGAUAAUCUAUAAUCUGUUGAAUGUAGGGAGAACCUGGACCCGAGGGUAAUAUAGGAGAACCAGGAUUUCCAGGAUCAGCGGUAAACGACCAUCCCAACAAGAAAACAAAGGAACUAAUUGUAUCGAACAUUGGUUUCACAAGUUCUUUGUAUUCAGGGUUCAAGGGGGUUUCCAGGACUACCAGGCCAUCCGGGAUUGAAAGGUCAAAAGGUCAGUCAAUGGUCAGUGCACAUUAACCAGCUGCAACACAGAAGACCAACCUGUAACUGUUUCAACAGGGAUUUGCUGGCUUGGCUGGAUCAAGGGGCGAGUCUGGAGCCACUGGAGCUAAAGGUGCAUCUGGUACUUCAGGAGUUCUGGGUGCUCCAGGUCCAGAGGUAUGUAACAGGUAACAGGUAACCCAACAAGAAUGUUUUUGACCGGAGAUCACUGAGACACAUCCUGUUUCAGGGACCAGCAGGCCUGCAGGGAGAAAGAGGCCGUCCUGGUCCGAGUGGGCCAUUGGUGAGAAAAUCAGAACACACCAAUUCAGGAAUAAUGAACCAAAUCCAAACUGACUUUUUUU